CGAACGGUAACAGGGAGCUUGCUCCGCUGACGAGUGGCGAACGGGUGAGUAAUGUAUCGGAACGUACCAUUCAGUGGGGGAUAACGUAGCGAAAGUUACGCUAAUACCGCAUAUUCUGUGCGCAGGAAAGCAGGGGAUCGCAAGACCUUGCGCUGAUUGAGCGGCCGAUAUCAGAUUAGCUAGUUGGUGGGGUAAAAGCUCACCAAGGCGACGGUCUGUAGCGGGUCUGAGAGGAUGAUCCGCCACACUGGAACUGAGACACGGUCCAGACUCCUACGGGAGGCAGCAGUGGGGAAUUUUGGACAAUGGGGGCAACCCUGAUCCAGCCAUGCCGCGUGAGUGAAGAAGGCCUUCGGGUUGUAAAGCUCUUUCGGCCGGGAAAAAAUCGCAUGGGUUAAUACCCUGUGUGGAUGAUGGUACCGGAAUAAGAAGCACCGGCUAACUACGUGCCAGCAGCCGCGGUAAUACGUAGGGUGCGAGCGUUAAUCGGAAUUACUGGGCGUAAAGCGUGCGCAGGCGGUUUUGUAAGACAGGCGUGAAAUCCCCGGGCUCAACCUGGGAACUGCGCUUGUGACUGCAAGGCUAGAGUAUGGCAGAGGGGGGUGGAAUUCCACGUGUAGCAGUGAAAUGCGUAGAGAUGUGGAGGAACACCAAUGGCGAAGGCAGCCCCCUGGGCCAAUACUGACGCUCGUGCACGAAAGCGUGGGUAGCAAACAGGAUUAGAUACCCUGGUAGUCCACGCCCUAAACGAUGUCAACUAGGUGUUGGGAGGGUAAAACCUUUUAGUACCGGAGCUAACGCGUGAAGUUGACCGCCUGGGGAGUACGGCCGCAAGGUUAAAACUCAAAGGAAUCGACGGGGACCCGCACAAGCGUGGAUGAUGUGGAUUAAUUCGAUGCAACGCGAAAAACCUUACCUACCCUUGACAUGUCCAGGAGCCUGAAGAGAUUUGGGUGUGCCCGAAAGGGAACUGGAACACAGGUGCUGCAUGGCUGUCGUCAGCUCGUGUCGUGAGAUGUUGGGUUAAGUCCCGCAACGAGCGCAACCCUUGUCGUUAAUUGCCAUCAUUCAGUUGGGCACUUUAACGAGACUGCCGGUGACAAACCGGAGGAAGGUGGGGAUGACGUCAAGUCCUCAUGGCCCUUAUGGGUAGGGCUUCACACGUCAUACAAUGGUCGGUACAAAGGGUUGCCAACCCGCGAGGGGGAGCCAAUCCCAGAAAGCCGAUCGUAGUCCGGAUUGCAGGCUGCAACUCGCCUGCAUGAAGUCGGAAUCGCUAGUAAUCGUGGAUCAGCAUGUCACGGUGAAUACGUUCCCGGGUCUUGUACACACCGCCCGUCACACCAUGGGAGCGGGUUCCGCCAGAAGUAGGUAGCCUAACCGCAAGGGGGGCGCUUACCACGGCG
rnacentral:rRNA from 1 species